rnacentral:rRNA from 1 species
GAUCCUGGCUCAGAACGAACGCUGGCGGCAUGCCUAACACAUGCAAGUCGAACGAGACCUUCGGGUCUAGUGGCGCACGGGUGCGUAACGCGUGGGAACCUGCCUUUAGGUUCGGAAUAACUCAGAGAAAUUUGAGCUAAUACCGGAUAAUGUCUUCGGACCAAAGAUUUAUCGCCUUUAGAUGGGCCCGCGUUGGAUUAGCUAGUUGGUGGGGUAAAGGCCUACCAAGGCGACGAUCCAUAGCUGGUCUGAGAGGAUGAUCAGCCACACUGGGACUGAGACACGGCCCAGACUCCUACGGGAGGCAGCAGUGGGGAAUAUUGGACAAUGGGCGAAAGCCUAAUCCAGCAAUGCCGCGUGAGUGAUGAAGGCCUUAGGGUUGUAAAGCUCUUUUGCCAGGGAAGAUGAUGACUGUACCUGGAGAAUAAGCCCCGGCUAACUUCGUG